rnacentral:lncRNA from 1 species
AACCUUAUGAUCAUCCAAAUUAUCCAAAAUGAAGGGUGGCUCUGAUACCAAUUAUUAGGAUUAUGAUUCCUACUAAAGACAACAACCUUCAUAUUGAAUAAUCCGGAUAUAUAAACUACAUGAGCGGAAGCUAACCUGAAUCCAUAUGUGGAAAUGUUGAUGAACCUCCUUUGAAGAUUGUCCUUAUGUUCUUGUGAAUUCCUUGAUCCUUCCUUCAAGUUUCUUGAAGUUGUAUAUCACCACAAAUGCCUCACAANNNNNNNCCCCCUUAACAUAAUGUCCAUAAGACCACAUAAUUAGGCCAAACCAAAAGAUAGCACAUAACAUAUAAUUAUCCAUAUAUUGUUCAUAUGUGUGU